CAGUAGCCACGGUAAUACGAAGGGGGCUAGUGUUGUUCGGGAUUACUGGGCGUAAAGCGCACGUAGGCGGAUAUUUAAGUCAGGGGUGAAAUCCCAGAGCUCAACUCUGGAACUGCCUUUGAUACUGGGUAUCUUGAGUAUGGAAGAGGUGAGUGGAAUUCCGAGUGUAGAGGUGAAAUUCGUAGAUAUUCGGAGGAACACCAGUGGCGAAGGCGGCUCACUGGUCCAUUACUGACGCUGAGGUGCGAAAGCGUGGGGAGCAAACAGGAUUAGAUACCCCUGUAGUCCCUGUCUCUUAUAC
rnacentral:rRNA from 1 species